ensembl:snRNA U6 U6 spliceosomal RNA
GCACUCACUUUGGCAGCACACAUAUUAAAAUUGGGACGAUAGAGAUUAGCAUGGCUCCCUGGAAGAAUGACGUGCAAAUUCGUGAAGCGUUCCAUAUUUUU